rnacentral:rRNA from 1 species
UCCUACGGGGGGCGGCAGUGGGGACUAUUGCACAAUGGUCGGAAGCCUGAUGCAGCAACGCCGUGUGAGGGAUGACGGCCUUCGGGUUGUAAACCUCUUUUAGCAGGGAAGAAGCGAGAGUGACGGUACCCGCAGAAAAAGCGCCGGUUAACUACGUGCCAGCAGCCGCGGUAAUACGUAGGGCGCAAGCGUUAUCCGGAAUUAUUGGGCGUAAAGAGCUCGUAGUCGGUCCGUUGCGUCUGUUGUGAAAUCCUGAGGAUCAACCUCGGGCCUGCAGUGUGUACGGGCAGACUAGAGUGCGGUAGGGGAGAUUGGAAUUCUUGGUGUAGCGGUGGAAUGCGCAGAUAUCAGGAGGAACACCGAUGGCGAAGGCAGAUCUCUGGGCCGUAACUGACGUUGAGGAGCGAAAGGGUGGGGAGCAAACAGGCUUAGAUACCCUGGUAGUCCACCCUGUAAACGUUGGCAACUAGUUGGGGGGUCCUUUCCACGGAUUCCGUGACGCAGCUAACGCAUUAANUCNCNGCCUGGGAU